rnacentral:lncRNA from 1 species
GACACCACCUUAAAAUGGGCAGAACUUGUCUUCUCCAGCUCUGCUGCUUUUUUUUUUUUUUUUUUUUUUAAAGGUUUCUUGUCCUUUUUUAAGAAAACUAUUUCAUUUGUUUCUGCUUCUCUUCCUACUUUCCCCCCUCCCCUAACAAAACUUUCCUUUUUGCAUCUUCUUACUUGUUUCCAGUCUGUCUGUUGGACAAGACAACCAAGUGCAUAGCGCAACCUUAAUAAAGGACCAUUCGUUUUCCUGUUUCACUUUCUCUGGAAUUCCCUUCGAAGAGAGAAGAGGAGAAAAGAAGAGUCCCUGAAUGUAUUUACCAGCUGUUUUUACUUUUCUGUCUUCUUAGUUAUUUUUUAUUUUAUUUUGGUUUAAAGUUAUGCAAAGCUGUUGCAAGACGGAGAUUUUACCUAGGUAACCAAGACAGAGAUGGGAAGUUCUUUGGAAGAAGAUACAUGUCUUCUAGAGGGUUUGGACAGUGCUUAGAGUUUAAUAACUUGAAUCUUCACAUCCCCAUAAUAUAAAUUAUUCCUUUCAGACAUACUAACAUGCAAGAACAGCAGUAUGCUAGAAAUACUAUGUUUGAACAAGCAAUCUUUCUUUCUGUACUAUUAUUUGUCCAUACUUUACAAUAAGCCUCAGCCUGAUUACCAUAUCCAGUGUAAGGCUGUUAACAAGUCAAGAUUAUUUUUCCCCUAUAUAGGUUAAGGGGAAGUAGCAGCUUAACACCUCCUUUUGUUGCCAAAGAUCUUUAAAAGGGACAAGUAUGUAGAAGAAAAUUGCCCACGGGCAUUCCUUGCAUCUUGUAGAUUCAGAGGUUCAGCGUCAGAAGGGACUACACUGAUUAUCUUGUUUGAUCUACCUUAUAAAAGGGCAUAAAAGCCCAAACAGUUGAGCUACAGAGUAUGAUUUAGAGAAAUUCAUAUUUGUUUAAAGACCUUCAAAUGAUGGAGAAUUUGCCAUAUCCUUCAGUAAGUUGUUCCCACAGUUUAAUGUUACAAAUUGUAUUGGCUACUUUGUUACAGACUAAAAUUAAAAUGAGUAAAAAAAAAUAGCCUCAACUUCUGAAAUGGUUUGGAUAGGGAAAUCAGCAAGCAAAUGAAAAUUUCAGCCCACAGCAGCCCAGAUAAACACUGAUUGUAAAGUUUCACACCUGCUA